AGAAACGACUCAGGGUCUGCGGCGCUUGCACGUCAACGGAAGGUGUGAGCCCAAAGAAAUGGGACGUCGGUCAUCAGAUACUGAAGAAGAAAGCAGAAGCAAGAGAAAAAAGAAACACCGUAGGCGGUCCUCCUCGAGCAGUUCUUCAGAUAGUAGAACAUACAGCCGAAAGAAAGGAGGAAGGAAAUCAAGAUCAAAGUCAAGAUCUUGGUCCAGAGAUCUUCAGCCUCGUUCACAUUCUUAUGAUAGAAGACGCAGGCAUCGAUCAAGCAGUAGUUCUUCUUAUGGCUCCAGAAGGAAACGAAGUCGAAGUCGUUCAAGGGGUCGAGGGAAAUCCUACAGAGUUCAGAGGUCUAGGUCAAAAAGCAGAACAAGAAGGGAAUCUGGAAACAUCAAAGCUGGAUUAGAACAUCUGCCACCGGCUGAACAGGCCAAAGCCAGACUACAGCUGGUUCUUGAAGCUGCUGCAAAAGCUGAUGAAGCAUUGAAAGCCAAAGAAAGAAAUGAGGAAGAAGCAAAGAGAAGAAAGGAGGAAGGUAAAGAAAUGCUACUAAAAAAGUGCCUUUAAAGGAAACUGUACUGCAAAAAUGAUUCCCAUGAUGCCUAUAUGAUUCCUGUCUGUGGAAUCAGAAGCUGAAGAUGGAUCAGUUAAUACCAUGCAAAGUCUUAUACUAUACUUCACCAUAUUCUUUGCAAAAUGAAACAGUAUAGCAGAGAUCAAAUAGAAUGGUUAUAGCUAAAGCCUGCAUAAUAUGUUUGAACGAUCUACACUUAUUGAGAAGAAAACUGAUGUUGAGUUAAAUAAGCUGGCAACACUGUCUACCUGUCAAGUUAUCUUACAUUUAAUUUUUAGCAGAAAUAGGAGAUAUAUCUAUUUACUAAAGAUAAAAAACAUACCAGUGUUCACAUCAAGAGAACAAGUUGGCAAGUG
rnacentral:sRNA from 1 species